rnacentral:rRNA from 1 species
GGCUGAAGUAGGUCCCAAGGGUAUGGCUGUUCGCCAUUUAAAGUGGUACGCGAGCUGGGUUUAGAACGUCGUGAGACAGUUCGGUCCCUAUCUGCCGUGGGCGCUGGAGAACUGAGGGGGGCUGCUCCUAGUACGAGAGGACCGGAGUGGACGCAUCACUGGUGUUCGGGUUGUCAUGCCAAUGGCACUGCCCGGUAGCUAAAUGCGGAAGAGAUAAGUGCUGAAAGCAUCUAAGCACGAAACUUGCCCYGAGAUGAGUUCUCCCUGAGACUUARAGUCUCCUGAAGGAACGUUGAAGACGACGACGUUGAUAGGCCGGGUGUGUAAGCGCAGCGAUGCGUUGAGCUAACCGGUACUAAUGAACCGUGAGGCUUAACCUU